rnacentral:rRNA from 1 species
AGUCAAGUAAUUAAGUGCAUGUGGUGGAUGCCUUGGCAGUCAGAGGCGAUGAAAGACGUGAUAGCCUGCGAAAAGCUCCGGGGAGGCGGCAAAUA